rnacentral:rRNA from 1 species
CGGGUUAGUGGCGGACGGGUGAGUAACGCGUGAGAAUCUGCCCUUAGGAGGGGGAUAACGGCUGGAAACGGCCGCUAAUACCCCAUAUGCCGAGAGGUGAAAUGAAUUUCGCCUGAGGAUGAGCUCGCGUCUGAUUAGCUAGUUGGUAGGGUAAAGGCCUACCAAGGCUUCGAUCAGUAGCUGGUCUGAGAGGAUGAUCAGCCACACUGGGACUGAGACACGGCCCAGACUCCUACGGGAGGCAGCAGUGGGGAAUUUUCCGCAAUGGGCGAAAGCCUGACGGAGCAACGCCGCGUGAGGGAUGAAGGCCUCUGGGCUGUAAACCUCUUUUAUCAAGGAAGAAGAUCUGACGGUACUUGAUGAAUAAGCCACGGCUAAUUCCGUGCCAGCAGCCGCGGUAAUACGGGAGUGGCAAGCGUUAUCCGGAAUUAUUGGGCGUAAAGCGUCCGCAGGCGGUCUUACAAGUCUGUCGUUAAAGCGUGGAGCUUAACUCCAUUUCAGCGAUGGAAACUGUAAGACUAGAGUGUGGUAGGGGCAGAGGGAAUUCCCGGUGUAGCGGUGAAAUGCGUAGAUAUCGGGAAGAACACCAGUGGCGAAGGCGCUCUGCUGGGCCAUAACUGACGCUCAUGGACGAAAGCCAGGGGAGCGAAAGGGAUUAGAUACCCCUGUAGUCCUGGCCGUAAACGAUGAACACUAGGUGUCGGGGGAAUCGACCCCCUCGGUGUCGUAGCCAACGCGUUAAGUGUUCCACCUGGGGAGUACGCACGCAAGUGUGAAACUCAAAGGAAUUGACGGGGGCCCGCACAAGCGGUGGAGUAUGUGGUUUAAUUCGAUGCAACGCGAAGAACCUUACCAGGGUUUGACAUCCUGCGAAUCCCUUGGAAACGAGGGAGUGCCUUCGGGAACGCAGUGACAGGUGGUGCAUGGCUGUCGUCAGCUCGUGUCGUGAGAUGUUGGGUUAAGUCCCGCAACGAGCGCAACCCACGUCUUUAGUUGCCAGCAUUUAGUUGGGCACUCUAGAGAGACUGCCGGUGAUAAACCGGAGGAAGGUGUGGAUGACGUCAAGUCAUCAUGCCCCUUACAUCCUGGGCUACACACGUACUACAAUGCUACGGACAAAGGGCAGCAGACUCGCGAGAGCUAGCAAAUCCCAUAAACCGUGGCUCAGUUCAGAUCGUAGGCUGCAACUCGCCUACGUGAAGGAGGAAUCGCUAGUAAUCGCAGGUCAGCAUACUGCGGUGAAUACGUUCCCGGGCCUUGUACACACCGCCCGUCACACCAUGGAAGUUGGCCACGCCCGAAGUCGUUACUCCAACCCUUGUGGAGGAGGAUGCCGAAGGUGGGGCUGAUGACUGGGGUGAAGUCGUAACAAGGUA